AUUUGAGAAGAAGAAAGAUUGAAUGCUGAAAUCUGAUUGUAGUUUAGUAGAGAGAAUGAGUCUAUGUUUGUGUGAAACACCAUAAUGUGAAUGGCAGUUCUGUGUGAAGAAUUCCAGUGAUUGGAAUGAGGGUAAUUGUGUGCUGAAAGUUGUGAGGGCGCAGUAUUACAGUUGGAGAUUAUGAGGGUGAAUAUAUUGGUGGAAAUAUCAGUUAUUGGUAUGACUGAA
rnacentral:lncRNA from 1 species